AACGAACGCUGGCGGCAUGCCUAACACAUGCAAGUCGAACGAGACCUUCGGGUCUAGUGGCGCACGGGUGCGUAACGCGUGGGAACCUGCCCUUAGGUUCGGAAUAACUCCCCGAAAGGGGUGCUAAUACCGGAUAAUGUCUUCGGACCAAAGCUUUAUCGCCUUUGGAUGGGCCCGCGUUGGAUUAGCUAGUUGGUAGGGUAAAAGCCUACCAAGGCGACGAUCCAUAGCUGGUCUGAGAGGAUGAUCAGCCACACUGGGACUGAGACACGGCCCAGACUCCUACGGGAGGCAGCAGUGGGGAAUAUUGGACAAUGGGCGAAAGCCUGAUCCAGCAAUGCCGCGUGAGUGAUGAAGGCCUUAGGGUUGUAAAGCUCUUUUACCCGGGAUGAUAAUGACAGUACCGUGAGAAUAAGCUCCGGCUAACUCUGUG
rnacentral:rRNA from 1 species